AUGAACGCUAGCUACAGGCUUAACACAUGCAAGUCGAGGGGCAGCAUGGUCUUAGCUUGCUAAGGCCGAUGGCGACCGGCGCACGGGUGAGUAACACGUAUCCAACCUGCCGUCUACUCUUGGACAGCCUUCUGAAAGGAAGAUUAAUACAAGAUGGCAUCAUGAGUCCGCAUGUUCACAUGAUUAAAGGUAUUCCGGUAGACGAUGGGGAUGCGUUCCAUUAGAUAGUAGGCGGGGUAACGGCCCACCUAGUCUUCGAUGGAUAGGGGUUCUGAGAGGAAGGUCCCCCACAUUGGAACUGAGACACGGUCCAAACUCCUACGGGAGGCAGCAGUGAGGAAUAUUGGUCAAUGGGCGAGAGCCUGAACCAGCCAAGUAGCGUGAAGGAUGACUGCCCUAUGGGUUGUAAACUUCUUUUAUAAAGGAAUAAAGUCGGGUAUGGAUACCCGUUUGCAUGUACUUUAUGAAUAAGGAUCGGCUAACUCCGUGCCAGCAGCCGCGGUAAUACGGAGGAUUCGAGCGUUAUCCGGAUUUAUUGGGUUUAAAGGGAGCGUAGAUGGAUGUUUAAGUCAGUUGUGAAAGUUUGCGGCUCAACCGUAAAAUUGCAGUUGAUACUGGAUAUCUUGAGUGCAGUUGAGGCAGGCGGAAUUCGUGGUGUAGCGGUGAAAUGCUUAGAUAUCACGAAGAACUCCGAUUGCGAAGGCAGCCUGCUAAGCUGCAACUGACAUUGAGGCUCGAAAGUGUGGGUAUCAAACAGGAUUAGAUACCCUGGUAGUCCACACGGUAAACGAUGAAUACUCGCUGUUUGCGAUAUACGGCAAGCGGCCAAGCGAAAGCGUUAAGUAUUCCACCUGGGGAGUACGCCGGCAACGGUGAAACUCAAAGGAAUUGACGGGGGCCCGCACAAGCGGAGGAACAUGUGGUUUAAUUCGAUGAUACGCGAGGAACCUUACCCGGGCUUAAAUUGCAGAUGAAUUACGGUGAAAGCCGUAAGCCGCAAGGCAUCUGUGAAGGUGCUGCAUGGUUGUCGUCAGCUCGUGCCGUGAGGUGUCGGCUUAAGUGCCAUAACGAGCGCAACCCUUGUUGUCAGUUACUAACAGGUUCCGCUGAGGACUCUGACAAGACUGCCAUCGUAAGAUGUGAGGAAGGUGGGGAUGACGUCAAAUCAGCACGGCCCUUACGUCCGGGGCUACACACGUGUUACAAUGGGGGGUACAGAGGGCCGCUACCACGCGAGUGGAUGCCAAUCCCCAAAACCUCUCUCAGUUCGGACUGGAGUCUGCAACCCGACUCCACGAAGCUGGAUUCGCUAGUAAUCGCGCAUCAGCCACGGCGCGGUGAAUACGUUCCCGGGCCUUGUACACACCGCCCGUCAAGCCAUGGGAGCCGGGGGUACCUGAAGUGCGUAACCGCGAGGAGCGCCCUAGGGUAAAACUGGUGACUGGGGCU
rnacentral:rRNA from 1 species